rfam:Bacillus anthracis str. 'Ames Ancestor', complete genome.
UCUUUAUCAAGAGAGGCAGAGGGACCGGCCCUUUGAAGCCCAGCAACCUCAGUUUAUACAAACUGAAUAGGUGCUAAUUCCUGCAAAAUGCAUUGCAUUUUGAAAGAUAAAAC